AGAAAUACGAAUGAACUAGAAGAGCUGCUAACUCUUCCAUAGCGGUUAAAUUCCGUUAUAUUUCU
rnacentral:tRNA from 1 species